rnacentral:misc_RNA from 1 species
CGAGUGAAACCUUUUUUCCGAGGUGUGGCUCGCACCUGUCUAACUAAACUGGGCUACCUAUUUCAACACGGUUGCAUCGGUUGGGUCUGCCAAACAGUGCACGAAAGUACCUGUGGAGGCAGCCCGAUAAUCUACCAAAACACUUUUGAUGGUCUAGGAUUUGAAAGUAUUUAACAUUUUACGACUGGUAAUGCGGUCGUCUAAAAUCUAAAAAA